rnacentral:rRNA from 1 species
AAGGGCGCACGGUGAAUGCCUUGGCACUAGGAGCCGACGAAGGACGCGACGAACAGCGAUAUGCCUCGGGGAGUUGUAAGUAAACUUUGAUCCGGGGAUUUCCGAAUGGGGGAACCCACCAUCCGUAAUGGGAUGGUAUCCAUAUCUGAAUACAU